rnacentral:rRNA from 1 species
CAGGACGAACGCUGGCGGCGUGCUUAACACAUGCAAGUCGAACGGUCUUUCUAUGGAAGCUUGCUCCACUGAGAAGAUAGUGGCGAACGGGUGAGUAACACGUGGGUAACCUGCCCAUAAGAGGGGGGAUAACAUCCGGAAACGGGUGCUAAUACCGCAUAGUUUUCUUGAUUGCAUGAUUGAGAAAGGAAAGACGGCCUUUGUGCUGUCGCUUAUGGAUGGACCCGCGGCGUAUUAGUUAGUUGGUGAGGUAACGGCUCACCAAGACGAUGAUACGUAGCCGACCUGAGAGGGUGAUCGGCCACAUUGGGACUGAGACACGGCCCAAACUCCUACGGGAGGCAGCAGUAGGGAAUCUUCCGCAAUGGACGAAAGUCUGACGGAGCAACGCCGCGUGAGUGAAAGAAGGUUUUCGGAUCGUAAAACUCUGUUGUCAGAGAAGAACAAGUUGGAGAGUAACUGCUCCAGCCUUGACGGUAUCUGACCAGAAAGCCACGGCUAACUACGUGCCAGCCGCCGC